AAUCGAUGACGUCACUUACAUGGGGAGUGUAAUCUGCUGAAAACAAGUUCAAACGUGUUUUGGUCUUUCGUGAUAAACAGAUAUUAAUACAAAUUGUUCUGUGAUUUCAGGAGGACAGAAAGAAACUCUACAGAACAGAAUUGAAGCUCCAAGAUUUCAACAUUUCCGAAGGGAGAUACUGACUUAGAAAUUCAGCUGGUUUCCUUCUGAUAAACCUGGAACUGCAGAGUAAAUAUUGUUGGCUCUGUGACAGGUUGCUUGUUUUGUUCCUAGACUCUUCAGUGAUGAUGAGCAGAGUUGGAGUGAACCUACUGUCAGACCGGUUGGGCCAAUAGACGAUGCCAUCAUCCAUCGUUGCUGGCUGAUAGACAUGAUGAUGUUGCGCCGGCAAACAGUGUCAUCAGCUCCAGUGUCUCACCCGUGCAUCCGUUGUCAUGCGACAGAGAAGUUACGUUCUAUAGACAGUUGUGAACGCACUAACAGCUGGUUGCCCAGGCUUUGGAUUAAAUGUUAUACUGUUGUAAGUAGUGUUCAUUUUCCUGUACAGACUGAACAUUUCGCUUCGUUAGACCUCAGUGUAUCACCAGGAGCCACCGGUAUUGAUUUUGUCUUGUUUUUAAAGUGGGAGUACAAUGGUGUUUCGUGUAUUCAGAGUUG